GAAUUCGCCCUUUACCGCGGCUGCUGGCACGGAGUUAGCCGGUGCUUCCUCUGGCGGUACCGUCAAGCAUGGCGGCUGUUCACCUCCAUGCAUUUCUUCCCGCCUGACAGAGCUUUACGACCCGAAGACCUUCCUCACUCACGCGGCGUUGCUGCGUCAGGGUUUCCCCCAUUGCGCAAGAUUCCUCACUGCUGCCUCCCGUAGGAGUCUGGACCGUGUCUCAGUUCCAGUGUGGCUGAUCAUCCUCUCAGACCAGCUAACCAUCGUCGCCUUGGUAGGCCAUUACCCUACCAACUAGCUAAUGGUACGCGGACUCAACCUUCAGUAGAAGCUUGCAAGCAGAGGCUCUCUUUGACUGUUUGACAGUUGUAAAACAGUGUUAUGGGGUAUUAGCCCACCUUUCGAUGGGUUAUUCCCCGCUGAAGGGCAGAUUAUCCACGCGUUACUCACCCGUGCGCCACUUUACUCAUUGGCCGAAGCCAACUUUCUCGUACGACUUGCAUGUGUUAGGCACGCCGCCAGCGUUUGUUCUGAGCCAGGAUCAAACUCAAGGGCGAAUUCGCGGCCGCUAAAUUUCAAUUCGCUAGGGGGGGGGG
rnacentral:rRNA from 1 species